rnacentral:tRNA from 1 species
GGGCUCGUAGUCUAGUGGCUAUGACGUCGCCUCGACACGGCGAAGGUCCCCGGUUCGAGUCCGGGCGGGCCCA